UCCGGUUGAUCCUGCCAGAGGCCACUGCUAUGGGGGUCCGACUAAGCCAUGCGAGUCAUGGGGCGCCUUGCGCGCACCGGCGGACGGCUCAGUAACACGUCGGUAACCUACCCUCGGGAGGGGGAUAACCCCGGGAAACUGGGGCUAAUCCCCCGUAGGCCUGAGGUACUGGAAGGUCCUCAGGCCGAAAGGGUCUUUGACCGCCCGAGGAUGGGCCGGCGGCCGAUUAGGUAGUUGGUGGGGUAACGGCCCACCAAGCCGAAGAUCGGUACGGGCCAUGAGAGUGGGAGCCCGGAGAUGGACACUGAGACACGGGUCCAGGCCCUACGGGGCGCAGCAGGCGCGAAACCUCCGCAAUGCUCGAAAGAGCGACGGGGGGACCCCCAGUGCCGUGGCAUCGCCACGGCUUUUCCGGAGUGUAAAGAGCUCCGGGAAUAAGGGCUGGGCAAGGCCGGUGGCAGCCGCCGCGGUAAUACCGGCGGCCCGAGUGGUGGCCGCUAUUAUUGGGCCUAAAGCGUCCGUAGCCGGGCCAGUAAGUCCCUGGCGAAAUCCCACGGCUCAACCGUGGGGCUUGCUGGGGAUACUGCUGGCCUUGGGACCGGGAGA
rnacentral:rRNA from 1 species